GUCUAGUUUGUUAGAGCAUUCGGUGGAUGCCUUGGUACCAGGAGCCGAAGAAGGACGUUGUAGCCUGCGAUAUGCCUCGGGGAGUUGGCAAACGAGCUGUGAUCCGAGGGUGUCCGAAUGGGGAAACCCGG
rnacentral:rRNA from 1 species